CUAUGAAAGACACAUGUAACAUCUGUAACUCUCGACUAUUAUACCCCAAAUUGAUGACAAAUUUCAAUCUACAUUGACUCUUGCAUGCUCUACUGUAAUGGAUUGCGCCUUUAAAUGAGUUCGUUGGAGUUUGUUUGUCAACGGUGCUGCGACUAUGGAGAUGUAUCCAUUAUAUCUUUGGAGAUGACUAGCCUAAAUCGAGAGAACUAUCGGGACAUUUCUCGUCUUGUGAAAAGAGGACUCAUCAACUCAACUAUAUUUUACGGAUUUAUAUUUAUAAUUUUUGUAGUAUUAUUUCCAGUUAUUUUUGUGUGAUGUACUCCUCUUCGAUUCUACUUUUUUAUUAUAUUAAGUUCGACAAGUGUUGUUAUUUUUUAGUAUUCAUUUUAUAACAGGAAACUAUAUAUUCUUACUUAAGGUU